AAACUGAUUCACUAGAGUACGAAAGAGGAAAGUAGAAUUCACAGUGUAGCGGUGGAAUGCGUAGAUAUUGUGAAGAAUACCGAUGGCGAAGGCAGCUUUCUGGUUCUGUACUGACACUGAGGUGCGAAAGCGUGGGUAGCGAACAGGAUUAGAUACCCUGGUAGUCCACGCCGUAAACGAUGACAACUAGCUGUUGGGAAGCUAUGCUUUUCAGUGGCGCAGCUAACGUCUUAAGUUGUCCGCCUGGGGAGUACGGCCGCAAGGUUAAAACUCAAAUGAAUUGACGGGGACCCGCACAAGCGGUGGAGCAUGUGGUUUAAUUCGAUGCAACGCGAAAAACCUUACCUACACUUGACAUACUUGGAAUCUUUUGUAAUGAAAGAGUGCCUUUUGGAGCCAAGAUACAGGUGCUGCAUGGCUGUCGUCAGCUCGUGUCGUGAGAUGUUGGGUUAAGUCCCAUAACGAGCGCAACCCUUACCCUUAUUUGCCAGCGAUUCGGUCGGGAACUAUAAGGGGACUGCCGGUGAUAAACCGGAGGAAGGUGAGGACGACGUCAAGUCAUCAUGGCCCUUACGUGUAGGGCUACACACGUGCUACAAUGGGGAGUACAGAUAGACGCUAAAGCGCGAGCUGGUGCUAAUCUCAUAAAACUCUUCGUAGUCCGGAUUGCAGUCUGCAACUCGACUGCAUGAAGUCGGAAUCGCUAGUAAUCGCGAAUCAGCAUGUCGCGGUGAAUACGUUCUCGGGUCUUGUACACACCGCCCGUCACACCAUGGGAGUGUAUUGCACCAGAAGUGGGUAGUCUAACCUUCGGGAGGGCGCUCACCACGGUGUGGUCCAUGACUGGGGUGAAGUCGUAACAAGGUAGCCGUAGGGGAACCUGUGGCUGGAUCACCUCCUUA
rnacentral:rRNA from 1 species